UUAUUCGUAUCAACAAAUCUGUGUACGAGUUAAUAACGCAGCCUGGUUCCCUGCAUUUCAGUGACAGAGAACCAGAAUAAGAUUGUAGGGAAACAAGCCUUGUUACAAGGUUUGAGGGUCUCUGCUAGAAUCAUGUGGACCCCAGUGUAACAAAUCUAUGGAAAGAGAGAAAAUCUCAGCUCAAGGGUCAACAUGUCUUUAUUCCAAGAAAGAGUGUACAUAUGCCAGAAUCAUAUGGACAGCAGACUGGCCCUGGUGAUUCCAUUAAGAAAAAAGAGGAAAAAUCAGUGCUUGUGCUCAUUGGUCAUUGGACAAAGGGUGUAUGCCAGAAUUUUUUCAAGAACAGUCUGAAUCUGACAUGGAAAAAAUGAAGAAAAACAGCCUUCCUGUUUAUACAUCUACAUUCUGACAAAGGGUAAGAAAGAAAUUCAGGAGUUCUUAAAUUGCCCUUGGAGUUCUUGGAUUGCAUCAAACUGCUAAAAGACCUCAACAAAAACAGCGUCUUGAAAAUAAAAAUGAAAAUAUUCAGUGAAAAAAAAAUGAUGAAAGAGCCACUAAAAAUCUUCAAGCCUUUGAGCUGAAAUCUUGAAGUCAAUCUGUGAACUUUACU